rnacentral:rRNA from 1 species
AUUGAACGCUGGCGGCAUGCUUUACACAUGCAAGUCGAACGGCAGCACGGGUGCUUGCACCUGGUGGCGAGUGGCGGACGGGUGAGUAAUACAUCGGAACGUGUCCAGAAGAGGGGGAUAACGCAUCGAAAGAUGUGCUAAUACCGCAUAUGCUCUGAGGAGGAAAGUAAGGGAUCGCAAGACCUUGCGCUGAUUGAGCGGCCGAUAUCAGAUUAGCUAGUUGGUGAGGUAAAGGCUCACCAAGGCGACGAUCUGUAGCGGGUCUGAGAGGAUGAUCCGCCACACUGGAACUGAGACACGGUCCAGACUCCUACGGGAGGCAGCAGUGGGGAAUUUUGGACAAUGGGCGCAAGCCUGAUCCAGCCAUGCCGCGUGAGUGAAGAAGGCCUCGGUUGUAA